rnacentral:rRNA from 1 species
GAUGAACGCUGGCGGCAUGCUUUACACAUGCAAGUCGGACGGGAAGUGGUGGUUCCAGUGGCGUACGGGUGAGUAACGCGUACGAACGUGCACUGGGGAGGGGAACAACAGCUGGAAACGGCUGCUAAUACCCCGUAGGCUGAUGAGCGAAAGGAGGAAUGCUUCCCAGGAGGGGCUCGCGUCGGAUUAUCUAGUUGGUGAGGUAAUAGCGAACCAAGGCCGUGAUCAGUAGCUGGUCCGAGGGGAUGAUCAGCCACACUGGGACUGAGACAAGGCCCAGACUUCUACGGGAAUCAGCGGAAGGCAGAUUGCCGCAAUCGGCGAGAGCGUGGAGGAGCAUUGCGUUGUAGAGGUAUGAGGCCUACGGGUCAAGAACUUCUUGUCCUUAGGGAGAAACAUUGACGGUAUCUGAAGAAUAAGCAACGGCUAACUAUGUG